AAAAAGCCACUAAGCUUCAGCUACACACGACCGUACCGCAAACCGACACUGGUGCGCGAGAUGAGUAUUCUAAGGCGCUUGAGAGAACUCAGGAGAAGGAACUCGGCAAAUUGACACCGUAACUUCGGAAGAAGGUGUGCCUUUAGUAGGUGAAGUCCCUGCGGAUGGAGCCCAAUGAGGUUGCAAAAAAUCGGUGGCUGCGACUGUUUAAUAAAAACACAGCACUCUGCAAACACGAAAGUGGACGUAUAGGGUGUGACGCCUGCCCGGUGCUGGAAGAUUAAAUGAUGGGGUGCAAGCUCUUGAUUGAAGUCCCAGUAAACGGCGGCCGUAACUAUAACGGUCCUAAGGUAGCGAAAUUCCUUGUCGGGUAAGUUCCGACCUGCACGAAUGGCGUAACGAUGGCCACACUGUCUCCUCCUGAGACUCAGCGAAGUUGAAAUGUUUGUGAUGAUGCAAUCUCCCCGCGGAAAGACGGAAAGACCCCAUGAACCUUUACUGUAGCUUUGUAUUGGACUUUGAACGGAUCUGUGUAGGAUAGGUGGGAGGCUUUGAAGCAGGGUCGCUAGAUCUUGUGGAGCCAACGUUGAAAUACCACCCUGGUGCGUUUGAGGUUCUAACCUAGGUCCAUUAUCUGGAUCGGGGACAGUGCAUGGUAGGCAGUUUGACUGGGGCGGUCUCCUCCCAAAGCGUAACGGAGGAGUUCGAAGGUACGCUAGUUACGGUCGGACAUCGUGACGAUAGUGCAAUGGCAUAAGCGUGCUUAACUGCGAGACUGACAAGUCGAGCAGAUGCGAAAGCAGGACAUAGUGAUCCGGUGGUUCUGUAUGGAAGGGCCAUCGCUCAACGGAUAAAAGGUACUCUGGGGAUAACAGGCUGAUACCGCCCAAGAGUUCAUAUCGACGGCGGUGUUUGGCACCUCGAUGUCGGCUCAUUUCAUCCUGGGGCUGUAGCCGGUCCCAAGGGUAUGGCUGUUCGCCAUUUAAAGAGGUACGUGAGCUGGGUUUUAAACGUCGUGAGACAGUUUGGUCCCUAUCUUCCGUGGGCGCUGCAGAUUUGAGAAAGCCUGCUCCUAGUACGAGAGGACCGGAGUGGACGCACCUCUGGUGUAUCGGUUGUCACGCCAGUGGCAUUGCCGAGUAGCUAAGUGCGGAAGAGAUAACCGCUGAAAGCAUCUAAGCGGGAAACUCGUUUCAAGAUGAGAUCUGCCGGGGCCUUGAGCCCCCUAAAGAGUCGUUCAAGACCAGGACGUUGAUAGGUCAGGUGUGGAAGCGCAGUAAUGCGUUAAGCUAACUGAUACUAAUUGCUCGUGCGGCUUGAU
rnacentral:rRNA from 1 species